UACGUAGGGUGCAAGCGUUGUCCGGAAUUAUUGGGCGUAAAGAGCUCGUAGGCGGUCUGUCGCGUCUGCUGUGAAAACCUGGGGCUUAACUCCGGGCCUGCAGUGGGUACGGGCAGACUAGAGUGCGGUAGGGGAGACUGGAAUUCCUGGUGUAGCGGUGAAAUGCGCAGAUAUCAGGAGGAACACCGGUGGCGAAGGCGGGUCUCUGGGCCGUAACUGACGCUGAGGAGCGAAAGCAUGGGGAGCGAACAGG
rnacentral:rRNA from 1 species